CAAAUCGGCAUUCCUCAAAGAGUUGGUCAAUACCUGCAGAGAGAAUCCCCAUCCCAUGUUAAUUGGGGGGGGGGGGAUUUCAAUAUCCUUCGGAAUCAGCAGGAAAAGAACAAUGACAGAUUUGAUUCUCGUUGGCCUUUUCUUUUCAACGUUGUUAUCGACAGCCUCAAUUUGCGGGAGCUCUGUAUGUCUGGUCGCCAAUAUACCUGGACCAAUAACAGAGCAAACCCAACCUUUGAAAAUCUAGAUCGAGUUUUGGUUACCACCGACUGGGAAUUCAAAUAUCCUCUUGCUUCGGUACGGGCACUAGAACGAAUUGACGCCUUAUCGGAUCAUGCGCCUUUGCUUGCUGAUUUUGGUUUGGCUGCUCCUAGUGGGAAUUUUCAUCAAUUCAAAUUUGAACUGGGAUGGCUCACUAGAGAGGGUUUUCAUGAGCUGGUUAAAAAAGUGUGGCAACGUCAACCUCGU
rnacentral:rRNA from 1 species